UACGUAGGGGGCUAGCGUUGUCCGGAUUUAUUGGGCGUAAAGAGCUCGUAGGCGGCUUGUCACGUCGGGUGUGAAAGCCCGGGGCUUAACCCCGGGUCUGCAUUCGAUACGGGCUGGCUAGAGUGUGGUAGGGGAGAUCGGAAUUCCUGGUGUAGCGGUGAAAUGCGCAGAUAUCAGGAGGAACACCGGUGGCGAAGGCGGAUCUCUGGGCCAUUACUGACGCUGAGGAGCGAAAGCGUGGGGAGCGAACAGG
rnacentral:rRNA from 1 species